rnacentral:rRNA from 1 species
UACGUAGGGUGCGAGCGUUGUCCGGAAUUAUUGGGCGUAAAGAGCUCGUAGGCGGUUUGUCGCGUCGACUGUGAAAACUGGGGGCUUAACUCUCAGCUUGCAGUUGAUACGGGCAGACUUGAGUUCGGUAGGGGAGACUGGAAUUCCUGGUGUAGCGGUGAAAUGCGCAGAUAUCAGGAGGAACACCGGUGGCGAAGGCGGGUCUCUGGGAAGUAACUGACGCUGAGAAGCGAAAGCAUGGGUAGCAAACAGG